GAUGGACGCUGGCGGCGUGCCUAAUACAUGCAAGUCGAGCGAACAGAUGAGGAGCUUGCUCCUCUGACGUUAGCGGCGGACGGGUGAGUAACACGUGGAUAACCUACCUAUAAGACUGGGAUAACUUCGGGAAACCGGAGCUAAUACCGGAUAAUAUAUUGAACCGCAUGGUUCAAUAGUGAAAGACGGUUUUGCUGUCACUUAUAGAUGGAUCCGCGCCGCAUUAGCUAGUUGGUAAGGUAACGGCUUACCAAGGCAACGAUGCGUAGCCGACCUGAGAGGGUGAUCGGCCACACUGGAACUGAGACACGGUCCAGACUCCUACGGGAGGCAGCAGUAGGGAAUCUUCCGCAAUGGGCGAAAGCCUGACGGAGCAACGCCGCGUGAGUGAUGAAGGUCUUCGGAUCGUAAAACUCUGUUAUUAGGGAAGGACAAAUGUGUAAGUAACUAUGCACGUCUUGACGGUACCUAAUCAGAAAGCCACGGCUAACUACGUG
rnacentral:rRNA from 1 species